rnacentral:tRNA from 1 species
GCCUGGAUAGCUCAGUUAGUUAGAGCGUGGCGCUGAUAACACAAAGGUUGCAGGUUCGAUCCCUGUAUGGGACA